GACGAACUGUGAGAUCACGACCUGAGCCGAGGUGAAGAGUCAUACGCUUAACCGACUAAGCCACCCAGGCACCAAAAUGGCCUUUCUUUCAAGGACAGGAGUCAUCUCCUUUGUUCUGGAGUGUGACAAAAAGGGCAUCCCUUUUGGCGAUCCUUCAGAUGACGAGAAAAAUCUGAAAUUGCUCUUGGAGGAGUUUUACAGACCCACAAAAGUGAAAAUAAAAUCAAAUGGAACAAGUUCCUUGAAAAGGCAGAUACUACGUCUCUCGAAAUUUGGAAGUAUUGACAGAAGACUGGUGCUUUGUUCCUAAAAAUCACUCAUUUCGCUGAGUGAUGUGGGAUGAGUUCCAGCUCUUCCACCUGGCCUUUGGAGGGAUAUGCAGAGGGCAGGAAGCACUGUUUUGCCAGCAGCCUCGUCUCUGCCAACAGGCUGUGACGGGCUGAUGCUUAAGACAGUGUCUUACUCCGCUUGAGGACCGGACUCCAAGCAGCAAACAGGUGUUGGAGGUGUUCGUCACGGUCUUAGGUGCUGGGACGGCCACAGAGCAAAGUGACCCAUGGCCCUGGACCCAAGGGGGUACGCUACUCAUUGAACCCUGUUCUUGGUGCAGUUGGGAACCAGUGGGCACUUAAUCAAGCUCAGGGAGUCUAAAAUCUAAUCGACAGGUCGUUCGGGGCCUUAUUGUUUUAAAUCGAUUUUCCAAGUGACAGAAAGUAACUGAGGCUGGCUUAAUCAAGAAGGGAACUUGCUGUCACUUGUUUACAAAAAUUAAGACGUAAUUCGGGCUAGCGACUCACAGAGAAGUUUACUGCGACUUAGUUCUUUCUGGUUAUCUCAGCUCCGCCUUGUGUUUGCUCUGUCUUCCUUCUGUGGAAGCAGGAUGGCCUCAGCACCCCAGCUCUACAUUUUUCAUCAUUGGGUCCAGCAGGAAAAUGUCUCUUCCCCUAAUGGUUUGAAUGAAAGUCUUGGACCUGACUUUCACUGGUCCAUACUGGGUCAUGUGUUUGUUCCUAAAGCAAAGGAGAGUGCUUAUCUCUUAAGAAAGGCACAAUUCAGCACGUUCCAUGUUGGGAGCUGGGCUCAGAAUCAGAGCGGGGCUGGUGCCCCAGGUUAAGAACAUAGGACGCUGUCACCAGAAGGAUCUGAAUAGGUGCUAGGCAUCAAGAACAAAAGGUAUCCACCAACCCAAGAGGAAAAAAAAAUGUUUUUUGACAUCAAACAAUUGGCGAUUGUAUAAUUACUUCCUUGAGAUGAGCUAUUGGAGUUGAGAAGACAUAAGUGAGGGCUGGAGUGGUUGCGGCAUUAAAGCUUCACAGAGCAGAUGGUUAUGAACUUGGCCUUGCAGGAUGGGUACGAUUCUUGGUUCGAUUCUCCAAGAUGCUAAUGAGGCUGAUGGCAAAGAGCGAAUGUUGUCAGAAUUGAUGGUGUCCAUUCUUUGUUAGCCUCCAGUGAAGGAUCCAACACUACAUAAGAGAUGUAGCCCUUAGCCAGAUACAGGAACCAAAAAAACGAACCUUUGUUCCUCAACAAAUGAUGGAUGUAAAUGAAAUACCCGGGACUGGUUCAGCAACAUUUAAAAAAAAAAAAAAAGAAAAGGAUGAAUUAUGGUACAGACAUGUUAGAAUAUUUUCUAGCCACGUACUCAUGUUUGAGAGAAUUAUUUUGGAGAAUUAAUUAUUUCGGAGAAUUUUUAAGUGCGAAAAACUAGACUCUCGAAUGGUUUACGUCAUGAGCUCAGCCAUCUGCAAACUACUUGGAACCCAAAAGUCUAGAAGGAAAUACAUCAAAAUGAUAUGCGGUUGCCUCUGUUCUCUAGAUUUAGCUGUAUUUUCAAAACAAAUAAAAAGACCACACAGCUGUGAACUGGCUAAGUCAAGAGACAGCGUCGGAAGCCUGGGGCAUCGGGCUUCUGCAGAGGCAGGGCGUGAGUUACCACAGUUCUGAGAGUCACAGAUCAGAUGGUCGUCUCGCCCCUGCAAGGGGCUUCAGCCCAAAAGGCACCGCUGGUGUGUCCGCAGACACAGGAACGGUGAUAGCAGACCUCUGCGCAGUGCCUGUGCACUUAUGUAUUUAUGUUUAAGUCCCGUGUAAUUAACAGACAAUGUUGUAUUUGUUUCAGGUGUACAAUAUAGUGAUUCAGCACGUCCAUACGUUACUCUGUGCCAAGAGAAGUGUGCUUUUAAUUGCCUUCCCCCAACCCUCCCACCCACCUCCCCUCCGGGGGAAAGUUCAGCAAGUGCUGAGCGACCGACCGCCUGACCUUGAGGAAGUAAAAUAAUUCAUCCUUCAGGAACGUUUUCAGAGCAUUUCUGGAAAUAAUUAUAAGAUUAAAUUUUCCUGAAAAAUUGACCGAAACAUCUGUUUUCCAAAAUUAAAUUGGAAAUACGAAUGGCCUUGGGCGUCUGCACCCAGCGGAAAGUCAUUUACCAUCCCGCAGCCCCUCGACGGGGUUUCCUUUUUUCCACGUUAUUAAACCCUUGCCCUGUAGCAAGCAGAGACAGUGUCCCCCCCCCCCCCCAGAACCCACCGUUUACAAAGUCCGCGGUCACUGCGGAGGGGACGGCUGGCCUUGGCAUCAGAACUGACCCUCCGAUCGUCGCUCAGAUUGCAGACCUUCUCCAGCGUCUCCUCUACCUUCCGGGGUGUCGGACCGAUGGAGCCGGUGCGCGGGUCUCGGCACGAUUCUCCAAGCCCACCGAGGGCGUGUCCCCGCUGCUCUGUGCGGCUUUGCCCCCCAGCAGCUCUUGAACCACCAAGUUCCCAGCAGCAGCGAGGGGGCCGGAACGGCCUUCCUCUUAACUGUUGGUCGCACGGCCAGUGCACACCGUGCGUGUCUGCUGAAUUGGGUCGGUAAGAGGCACACGAAGACAGGUGGAUGGAACGUGCUAGCCUGCCCGUGCCAGGAGUUCACCUCCCCAGGGAAAUUGGCCUGUGCACAGAAGACAAAGGGGGUUAGGAAGUUUGAGAGUGGAUUUUUUUGUACCCGCACGGCUCAGGGCCUCAGGGGAUCCCUCAACGUGGCGGGGUGGGGAGAACAGGGUAGGAAGCCCGCCUUCAUUUCCUUUUUCCCACGCCCCCCUCCCCCUUUUCCAUACAUUCUCCCUUUAACAAUUCUUUACAAUUGUAUUUCCCUUCUCAGGGAUGGGCCCUGAGCUUAAUUUACCGUAUGGUUCCUACCCUCAGGGAUGACCUUUUCUCAUAAACAUGUCAAAGCGGUAUCGAUGCACAACGAGGAGCCCGCAUUUUCAACUGAGAACGAUUUGUGUGUCGUUUAUUGAAAACCUAUCACGUUGCGCUCCCGGCGAUGUGCAGACUCAGUACAACCUGAGUUUUGAGACUGAGUUUUUCACACCGCGGAAGACUUCUGCAGUUUUUAGUUUUAGGACAUACUCGGCUUAUGUCUCGACAGCACAUGGACCCUUCAACUCGUAAAAUACUAUGCUCGAUGACUUUUAUCAUCGAUAUUUAAGCUGAUUUUAAUUAUUUCCUGCAUGAAAUAUGACCAACGUUGGUAUCUCUGAAGACAUUUGCUUUGCAAAAAGAGUCACCCCACAAAAUAACCCAAUUCAGUGGUCUAAGACAGUUGCUGAAGUGGAUCGUUAAAAAAUGUCAUGUGUGCAGGUUGUAAAUUUGUUUAUGUGUGUUUUUUUGUUGUUUUCUUUUUUGAGAGAGAGUGUGCAAGCAGGGGAGAGGGGCAGAAGGAGGAAGGGAGACCGACAGACAGACAGACAGUCAGUGAGAAACUCUCUAGCAGAUUCCACACUUAACGCAGAGUUUCGGGGCUGGCUUCCCUGACUUACCGAUUGUGACCCGAGCCGAAAUGCCUGACGAACUGAGCCACCCAGGUGCUCCUUGUUUAUGAAUAUUGAAUGGUCCUUCAACCCAUAUCGAGCACCUGUAUGAGUCAGGGUUCAAUUACAGAAAACAGAAGCUGCUGAAGCUGAUCUAGAUAAUAAGGAAUUGAAUGUGUUAGUGGCUCAGAGAAUCUUCGGGAAUGCUGAAGAGGCGGUCUUAGGUUGAGCUGGAGGGCGGGAUUGUGAUUUUACCUCUGAAUGGCUACUGGCCGGAAGUUUGGCGCUUUUUGGCCUCCAGCCACAGCCGGGCAGGAUUCCCACCGGAAGGAGGCGCACUUGGGGACUGCGUGCUCGCUUGUGGCUCCUGGGGUAACUGCACAGAGCUCUCUGGUCUGCUCUGAUGGCCUGUGAGGGGAGUGACACUAAACACAUGCCACAGACUACUGACAGUCGUGAUGAAACUGGAAAGGCCAGGUACGUGAUGCUUAGAAGUAAAUAAUAAGGGGACUUCAUCUAAACUGGAGGUGGGGUGAGUGCCAGAGAGGCCUCUCGAAAAAGCAUUUAAGCCAAGGCUUGAAGGUGGAGGUGAAUUUGCUAGGUGAAGCAGGAAGUGGAGUGGGAAAGAGAACCCCAGGCCGAGGGUGCCGGAGUUUGAGGCCUGAGGCUCGCUGGAACCAGGAGAGAAGGCUGGCGUGAGGGGGUGAGAGCCGACAGGGCCGCCUAGUUGGGUGGUAGGGUGAGGUCAGGAAGGGCUUUGAGGUCACAAGAAGGGUGUUUCCUAAAAGCAAUCGAAGUCAUCCUUUGAGCAUGAAGGUGAUUAGCGGAUGAGUGUUUUUACACGAUCUCAGCGGCUGCAGUUGGGAGAGUGGCUUGGAGGAGGGUGGGGGGAGUGAGCGAAA